rnacentral:lncRNA from 1 species
GUCAUAUAGAACAGCUGUAGAUAGAGUAACACACCUGUUUCAACCCUGGUUUUGGCUUAAGAAGAUAAGAAAUUUUUUGGAUCAUGAAUGUGCUCUUCUUUCCCUUCGGAAAUAAAAGCACGGAAUGCUGGUUCACACCAAGUCUGUGAGGAGGCUUGGUGUCAUACCCAUGAUUUACGAAGACUGCAGCCUACGCACACCUACCACUUACCCAUACUUAGAGAGAUCAUAGAAACCUAAGUAGAUGGCACGGUAACCUAAAAAUGUAACACCUGGGUUUUGCACAUUUUCUCAGGACCUUUUAACUUUGUUCCUCUGCAGUUUUUCUUUCUUUCUUUCUUUCUCUCUUUCUUUCUUUCUUUCUUUCUUUCUUUCUUUCUUUCUUUCUUUCUUUCUUUCUUUCUUUCUUUCUUUCUUUCUUUCUUUCUUUCUUUCUUUCUUUCUUU